UGAAAGGCGAAACGUAAUGUGAAUCGCAACUAACAGUGAAUCAUCGAAUCUUUGAACGCAGGCCGCAUCUGGGGCUGUCAUUCUGUGACAGUUCCAGGUAUCUAUGCAGGAGUGUCAGCCUAAUGUCAUUUAUGGUUCAAGAAGUUUGAGAGCAAUGUAUAUUUGUAUAAAAAGCUCUGCAUAAAAACUUUUGGACAUAGAUUGAUAUGUAGGAUUUAAUGUCUGGCCUCCUGUGUGGAAGAUUACCCGCUGGAUUUAA
rnacentral:misc_RNA from 1 species